UGAAAAUGGAGACAGAGCAGUUAAAUGACUUACCCAAGCCUUUGGAUGGAGAUGGUACCAGGGAUCAUAACUAAGAAGUUCCUGGCUGCCACAUCUGUGCUCAGACCACGGGGAGGACCCUGAUUGCAGAUCUCCAUGAAGCUGUGUGGGUUUUGUACCUACAGUUCCAUGUGCAUUUUAGAUGGUGUUGUUUCUGGAGAAGUAUAACAUGGAGUGGGAAUCCAGAGGAAGGGCCCCAUAUGGUAAAUCAGGGCUGUGAUUUUUACAUGAGCAAUUAGUUCUUGUUCAAGCUCGGAGGAGAGGCGGAGGCAAAAGGGUUUGAAAGAAUCUGGGCUUUGAAGACAUCUGUAGGUUUGUUUUGUUUGUUUGAGGAAUAAAACAGCUGAGAAUACCUAGA